UUCCCUAUAUUCUAAAACAAGUCUCCAAUCUAAAUCUUUGUUCUUGCAUGAGAGCAUGAUCACGUGCGAUGCGCGUGCAACCUUGAUAGCUGGGCUUUUCCAUCCGACGGCCCAAGUCUCUCCAUCCCCGCCUCCCUCUCUCUCUCUCUCUCUCUCUCUCUCUCUCUAUCCAUCGAUCUCCCCUUCAUCCCCCCGUCGUCGCGCUCUCGCCACCGUUCGCUCGCUCACGACCGCCGGGAACCGCCGCCGGAAGCUCGCGUCCGGCGCCGCCGCCUGCAGCCGGCGAGGACUUCAAUCGCUAGCUUCCCUUGGGGAGGUCCUUGUUCUUAGUUGACUUCUAAAUCAGCUCAUGUACCAAUCUAUUUGCUUCCGAUUGGGUUUGGAGACUGUGGGCUAAUGCAGAGUUGAUGGAGAAUUUUUCAAAUUGACUUCAAGCAUGGAUAGUGGCGCUUCCAGUACUCGACCACCUACAUCUAGCAAUGAAGAUUUCAAUAAACCACUAUGGAGGUAUAUUACUAAGUUAGCUACUCAUAGCGAUGCGGGGGGAAAUGUGUCUUGGAAAUGCAAUUUUUGUGAAAAAGAUUUUAAGAGUUCAUACACGAGAAUUAGGGCCCAUUUGUUGAUGAUAAGUGGAAAAGGAAUUGGAAAAUGCGGAAAAGUAGAAAAGAAGGAUCUUUUCGAGAUGGAAAGAUUAGAUGAAGAGGUCAAUACUAGAUUAAUGAGUAUUGUGCCUAAAAAUGUACCUUUACCCCCUUCUAGUUUUUCAAUUAGUGGUGGUGGUGAGGGGAUGGAUUCAUCCUUUGACUCCAAAAAAAGGAAGAUUGGAAGUGGGAGUGGAGGAUCAAUUGAGAAGGCACUCAACAUGACUGAACGGGAACGUUUAGAUUAUGAAAUUGCUAGGAUGUUCUAUUCGGCGGGCUUGUCGUUUAACCUAGCAAGGAACCCUUACUUUCAAUCCGCUUUCACUUAUGCCGCUAAUCAUAAUAUUGCGGGAUAUGUACCACCGAAAUAUAAUUUAUUAAGGACUACUUUGCUGCAAAAAGAAAAGGCAAAUAUCGAUAGGUUGUAUGCUCCUAUUAGAAACAUGUGGAGGGAAUGGGGUGUAAGUAUUGUGAGUAAUGGAUGGAGUGACCCACAAAGGAGACCACUUAUUAAUAUUAUGGCGGUAUCGGAUGGAGAACCUAUGUUUAUAAAAUCGGUUGAUUGCUCGGGAGAAAUAAAGGAUAUGCAUUUUAUUUUUAACUCGUUGAAAGAAGUAAUCGAUGAAAUUGGGCAUGAGAAUGUGGUUCAAGUAAUUACGGAUAAUGCUUCAAAUUGUAAGGGCGCGGGACAACUCAUCGAGCAAGAAUUUUCAUCCAUUGUUUGGACGCCUUGUGUGGUGCACACCCUUAAUCUAGCUUUGAAGAACAUUUGUGCCGCAAAGAAUGUGGAGAUCAAUCAAGUAGUUUAUGAGGAAUGUAGUUGGAUUUCAGAGAUUGUUGGGGAUGUUAUGCAAAUCAAACAUUUCAUCACGAACCAUUCCAUGAGAUUAGCAAUAUACAAUGAGUUUGUUAACUUGAAGUUGCUUUCCGUAGCGGAUACACGUUUUGCUUCGAUGAUUGUGAUGCUUAGAAGGUUUAAACUAAUAAAAGGUGGUCUUCAAAGUAUGGUUAUUUGUGACAAAUGGAAUAUCUAUCGAGAUGAUAAUCAUGGGAGAGCUAAGUUUGUCAAGGAGAAGGUGUUGGAUGAUUUUUUGUGGGAUUCAAUUGAUUAUAUACUUUCCUUCACGGCUCCUAUUUAUGACAUGCUUAGAAUUUUUGACACCGACAAGCCUUGUCUUCACUUAGUCUACGACAUGUGGGAUUCAAUGAUUGAAAAAGUGAAGAGAGCUAUAUAUGCGCAUGAAGUGAAAAGGCUAGAUGAGGAAUCUACAUUUUAUGAGGUGGUUCAUACAAUUCUUGUGGAUCGUUGGACUAUGAACACUCCACUUCAUUGCUUGGCACAUGCCCUGAAUCCUAGAUACUAUAGUGAUCAAUGGCUCAAUGAAGAUCCUGCUCGAGUUUCUCCACACAAGAAUAAGGAGAUCAACCAAGAAAGACUAAAAUGCCUUAGGAAAUACUUUCCUAACUUUGAUGAGCACCACAAGAACGUUGUCUGCUUUGCCAAUCCAGCUUCAAUCAUCAAGUCGUUUGCAGAGGUAAGAGUCUCUCUCUCUCUCUCUCUCUCUCUCUCUCAAAUAAGUUAGAUGUUCGGAUCUGUUGUACUUGCCUCUGUUUAGUGUUCACAAAUGGCUCUUCUUAACUCUUUUUUCUGCGAAUCCAUUGUGUCCAUCUGAUCAUCUUCAACUAUGUUUCUUCUUAACUCUUUUUUCUAGUGAGCUUUUUUGAUUCCUCAAAAUUGUGACGGAGAAGCCAAUUAGCAAAGCAAAGGCAUCGAUUUAAAAUCGAUGGCGCAAAUUGCAUUGAAGAAAAUUUCAAGAAUCUCGCGUCUUCAAAGCCACAUUGAUAUUUUGUAUUUUGAUGGGCUUGGUUUUGUGUUCAAUUUUGUGACCUUUGUAGAGAUUAGGCGGAGUGAUUGCGGAGAAAGCGAAGUUUCAUAUACUAUUAUUAGAAAUGGAGCUUAUUAGAGUGAAUUUCAUGCUCAUAAUAACUAGGGCGGUACCCUAUUCUGGUUAUAGUUUUCCCAUGAAAGCUGAUAGUCGGUUAGUUAAUGCUUUUCGUGGUCUUCAUUUGGAGGAAGUCCCUCACUCUAAUGGAUCUCUCAAGAUGAUCACCUGGAAUUGUCGUGGGGUGUGAAAUCUUGAGUUAGACAAAGUGUCAGGGAUCUUGUUAGCAUACAGAAUUCCAAAAUUCUCAUAUUGCCGGAACCCAGAUUAGUGGGGACAGGGCAGGGAUGUGAUCUGCAGUGACCUGGCUUUCGUUGAUUUUACUUCUACUCUGUCUAUGAUUUUUAUCUCUGCGGCUUUCUCGCUGUUCAUUUCGCGGAAACUUUCAUGAAUCUCGCAUCCUCAAAGCCGCAAAGUUCUUUUGUAUUCUGAUGGGCUUGGUUUUGUGUUCAAUUCUGUUAGCUAUGUAGAGAUUAAGCGGACUGAUUGUGGAAAAAGCUGAGUUUCAUGUGCUAGUAUUAGAUUUGGAGGUUCUUUAGACACAAAAGGUGUUGGUUUCAUUCCCAAAGGAAUGUCUACUAAGAAGUUUCUUAUCCACUCAGCCUCGUUGUGUGAACCAGUUCUAGAGCUACGAAUUCUGACUCCAUAAUAGAUUUAGCAAAUAUUGUUUGUUUAGCUGAUUUACAAGUUAUAGCAUCUCCACCAAGAGUGAACAUAUUACCCAUAUGUUUUUCACUUAUUGGGUAUUAGCAUCAUAAGAAGUACUUAUAUAUGUGACAUCAAAGUAUCAUAUUUUUUAAGUAGCAUAUUUACAUAAUGCUCUUGAGUAAGCAUUCAGCCACUAUCACUUAUGAUUUUAACACCCAAAAUAACAUUAGCUUUUCCCAAGUCCGUAUCAGAUUUAGAAGUCAAACAACAUUUUUCUUCAUUUACAACAU